GUUGAAACACCGGUUCUCUUACGAUCACCGAAGUUAAGCAAAGUCGAGCCUGGUCUGUCCUUAGAUGAGUGACCGCUUGGGAAUGUCAAGUGAUGUA